CUUUAUUGGAGAGUUUGAUCCUGGCUCAGGAUGAACGCUGGCGGCGUGCCUAAUACAUGCAAGUCGAGCGAAUGACGAGGAGCUUGCUCCUCUGAUUUAGCGGCGGACGGGUGAGUAACACGUGGGUAACCUGCCUGUAAGACGGGGAUAACUCCGGGAAACCGGAGCUAAUACCGGAUGAUAACGAGAAGCGCCUGCUUCUUUUUUGAAAGUCGGUUUCGGCUGACGCUUACAGAUG
rnacentral:rRNA from 1 species